rnacentral:rRNA from 1 species
UACGGGGGGAGCAAGCGUUGUUCGGAUUUACUGGGCGUAAAGGGCGCGUAGGCGGCCACCGCAAGUCGACUGUGAAAUCUCCGGGCUUAACCCGGAAAGGUCAGCCGAUACUGCGGGGCUAGAGUGCAGAAGGGGCAACUGGAAUUCUCGGUGUAGCGGUGAAAUGGCGCAGAUAUCAGGAGGAACACCGGUGGCGAAGGCGGUUCUCUGGGCAUUACCUGACGCUGAGGAGCGAAAGUGUGGGGAGCGAACAGG